rnacentral:lncRNA from 1 species
CAAAAGGGCGCGGGGGAUGAUCCGAGACAACUCCAGCCUAAAACAAGUCCAGCCAAGCUCUCUGUCUGCAGGAAAGAGGAGAGGACUCGGAGCCGGAAUCCGGUCUCUCCACUGCCUGGGGCUCCACGAGAUGAGGAAAGUAAUGCUCAAGAGGUUAAAUACCUUGCCAAGCGUCCCGGCUGGCCAGCCGAGGAAUCAGGAUUCAAGCGAAGGCGUCUGACUACAGCCUUUGCUCCAAAGCAGUAUGCUGCACUAAAACAAACAAACAAACAAACAAAAAACAAAGAAGAAGGGCAUUUCAGGACAAGAAAACAGCACCUUGAAAGGCCCAGAAGCCUGAAUGAACACAGAGCCUGCGAGUUAUAACUCAGAUAAUCAGCUAUUUAUUAUUACCCCCAUUUUACACAGAAGAAAAACAAAGCAGAGAGGGGUCAAAUAACUCUUCUGAAGUCACAGAGCUGGUGGCCUAAGUGGCAAGGAAAACAGGAACCAUUUCCUUCUGGAGAAAAGACCUGUCCAUCCUGUUCUCUUUUCCUUUGGGCGUCUCUUCUCUUCAACCUCCUGUCUCCCAUGUGACUAACUGGUAGGCGCAUUUGGGUUUAGCCUUAAGGAGAAGGAAGGGUCUAAUUGAGCCACUCCUGCCAGAGUUCCUGGCCUCAGAGUUUCACACACAAACCCAGGAACAACAAAAUGUUCCCGCAGCCAGACUGAAAUUUGACCUCACUCUAGCUCAGAUGUGCAAAGUCAACGUUGGAAAUGGAACUGAAAAUCACCAGCUAAAGUAUCUCACUCUUCUGACUUAAGAUGAUUUCAUUCCAGGUCAUAACUCCCUGUUGGAGCUGUUUCUCUCCCUUUGUCUUCUCCUCCUUAAGAUGGUUUCUGUAGGGUGGUGCUUAGGUGACCUCACAGUGGCUCAGAGCCCAUGCUUUUCUCCUCUGGAUCGUCGCCAACCUGUGCUGCCAGGAUGCUAGUCUGGUCUUGCCCUUGAGCUGUCAGUCCUAAAAGUCUGUCCUCCCACCCACCGUGACCGCAGGAACUUUUCUUGCCUCAUAUCUACCUCCUUACCCAGAUGAAAUUUGUAAACACCUUCUGCCCAGAGGCCUACUAGCAGAAUGGCUACGUAACUCGUGAGGAAAACACACAGACACCCACGUACCAUCUUUAUCAGGUUGCUUUGCUUUCCUUUACCAUUGUCUGUCGUCUGAAUAUCACCUUUGGGAACCUCGUGGGGGAAGGAACCUUGAAUUUGGGGUUAUCCCAAAUACUUCAUAAAGUCAAGCUCUCACAAAUAAUUUCUAGUAUUCCUUCUACAUACGGCUUUAUUUUUCAUUAUAUUCUUCUAUACUCUCCCAAUAAACCCCAACAGAGCACUGGAGGAUUUCCUGUUUUGCUUGCAGCUGUAACCCCAGUGUUACAAUAGCACGUGGCACAGGGCAGGCGCCCUAUAAACACUGUGGAAGGAGGGAGUGGCUGCUCACACCUGCGGUGCAUGGAUUUAUCCAGUCCCCCUCGCGGGCAGUCUGAUGUCCCUGAUCUCCGGUCCUUUGCACAGCAGCGCCCGGAAGUUCACGUGCUGCCCACAGCAGUCACCAGCGUGGAGGGGGGAGUCGAAGCACUGAGGUCCCUCGAGAAGAGCAGGACAGAGAAUUAACAGGGGCCAAGAGUAGCCCUAGAACAGCGGUUCCCAAACUUUUAAAUCUCAGAACCCCUUUCCACUUUUAAAAUUUGUUGAGGAUUCUAAGGAGCUCUCUACAAGGGUCAC